rnacentral:rRNA from 1 species
CCUACGGGGGGCAGCAGUGGGGAAUAUUGCACAAUGGGGGAAACCCUGAUGCAGCGACGCCGCGUGAGUGAAGAAGUAAUUCGUUAUGUAAAGCUCUAUCAGCAGGGAAGCAAAUGACGGUACCUGAGCAAGAAGCCCCGGCUAACUACGUGCCAGCAGCCGCGGUAAUACGUAGGGGGCCAGCGUUAUCCGGAUUUACUGGGUGUAAAGGGGGCGUAGACGGCAGUGCAAGUCUGGAGUGAAAGGCGGGGGCUCAACCCCCGGACUGCUGUGGAAACUGUACGGCUGGAGUGCAGGAGAGGUAAGUGGAAUUCCUGGUGUAGCGGUGAAAUGCGUAGAGAUUAGGAGGAACACCAGUGGCGAAGGCGGCUUACUGGACUGUAACUGACGUUGAGGCUCGAAAGCGUGGGGAGCAAACAGGAUUAGAUACCCUAGUAGUC